rnacentral:rRNA from 1 species
AGUUUGAUCCUGGCUCAUAAUGAACGCUAGCUACAGGCUUAACACAUGCAAGUCGAGGGGCAGCAUGGGAGUUGCUUGCAAUUCCCGAUGGCGACCGGGGGAUGGGUGAGUAACGCGUAUCCAACCUGUCCCGCGCGCGGGGACAGCCCUUGGAAAUGAGGAUUAACCCCCGAUACGCCAUGGGGCCGCAUGGUCCCCUGGUGAACCUUUGCGCGGGUUGGGGAUGCGUACGAUUAGCUUGCCGGCGGGGUGACGGCCCACCGGGGCGACGAUCGUUAGGGGUUCUGAGAGGAAGGUCCCCCACACUGGUACUGAGACACGGACCAGACUCCUACGGGAGGCAGCAGUGAGGAAUAUUGGUCAAUGGGCGGAAGCCUGAACCAGCCAAGUUUUUUUUUUUUAUGACGGCCCUACGGGUUGUAAACUGCUUUUAUGCGGGGAUAACCGCCGGGACGCGUCCCGGCCUGCAGGUACCGCAUGAAUAAGGACCGGCUAAUUCCGUGCCAGCAGCCGCGGUAAUACGGAAGGUCCGGGCGUUAUCCGGAUUUAUUGGGUUUAAAGGGUGCGCAGGCGGGAUGUCAAGUCAGCCGUAAAAUUUCCGGGCCCAACCCGGUCGUGCGGUUGAAACUGGCGUCCUUGAGUGCGGCGGAGGGAGCCGGAAUUCGUGGUGUAGCGGUGAAAUGCAUAGAUAUCACGAGGAACUCCGAUUGCGAAGGCAGGCUCCCGUGCCGCCACUGACGCUCAUGCACGAAGGCGCGGGUAUCAAACAGGAUUAGAUACCCUGGUAGUCCGCGCAGUAAACGAUGAACACUCGCGGUGUGGACCAUGAGCAUGCGCCGCCAAGCGAAAGCGUUAAGUGUUCCACCUGGGGAGUACGCCGGCAACGGUGAAACUCAAAGGAAUUGACGGGGGCCCGCACAAGCGGAGGAACAUGUGGUUUAAUUCGAUGAUACGCGAGGAACCUUACCCGGGCUUGAAAUGCGACUGGCGACCCCGAGAGACCGGGGUUUCCUUCGGGCAGUCGUGUAGGUGCUGCAUGGUUGUCGUCAGCUCGUGCCGUGAGGUGUCGGCUUAAGUGCCAUAACGAGCGCAACCCUCUCCGCCGGUUACCAUCAUUGAGUUGGGGACUCCGGCGGCACUGCCAUCGCAAGAUGCGAGGAAGGCGGGGAUGACGUCAAAUCAGCACGGCCCUUACGUCCGGGGCCACACACGUGUUACAAUGGGGGGCACAGAGAGCUGGGUCAUGGCGACAUGCCCCGAAUCAUCAAAUCCCCUCCCAGUUCGGAUCGGAGCCUGCAACCCGGCUCCGUGAAGCUGGAUUCGCUAGUAAUCGCGCAUCAGCCAUGGCGCGGUGAAUACGUUCCCGGGCCUUGUACACACCGCCCGUCAAGCCAUGAAAGCCGGGGGCGCCUGAAGUCCGCAGCGGACGACGCGCGGCCUAGGGCGAUACCGGUGAUUGUACUAAGUCGUAACAAGGU